rnacentral:rRNA from 1 species
GAUGAACGCUGGCGGCGUGCCUAAUACAUGCAAGUCGAGCGAACAGAUAAGGAGCUUGCUCCUUUGACGUUAGCGGCGGACGGGUGAGUAACACGUGGAUAACCUACCUAUAAGACUGGGAUAACUUCGGGAAGCCGGAGCUAAUACCGGAUAACAUAUUGAACCGCAUGGUUCAAUAGUGAAAGGCGGCUUUGCUGUCACUUAUAGAUGGAUCCGCGCCGUAUUAGCUAGUUGGUAAGGUAACGGCUUACCAAGGCAACGAUACGUAGCCGACCUGAGAGGGUGAACGGCCACACUGGAACUGAGACACGGUCCAGACUCCUACGGGAGGCAGCAGUAGGGAAUCUUCCGCAAUGGGCGAAAGCCUGACGGAGCAACGCCGCGUGAGUGAUGAAGGUCUUCGGAUCGUAAAACUCUGUUAUCAGGGAAGAACAAAUGUGUAAGUAACUGUGCACAUCUUGACGGUACCUGAUCAGAAAGCCACGGCUAACUACGUG